rnacentral:rRNA from 1 species
UACGUAGGGUGCGAGCGUUUGUCCGGAAUUACUGGGCGUAAAGAGCUCGUAGGUGGUUUGUCGCGUUGUUCGUGAAAACUCACAGCUCAACUGUGGGCGUGCGGGCGAUACGGGCAGACUGGAGUACUGCAGGGGGAGACUGGAAUUCCUGGUGUAGCGGUGGAAUGCGCAGAUAUCAGGAGGAACACCGGUGGCGAAGGCGGGUCUCUGGGCAGUAACUGACGCUGAGGAGCGAAAGCGUGGGGAGCGAACAGG